AGGAAUUUAGGUUAAAUAAGACCAUGAGCCUUCAAAGCUUAAAGUGGGGGUGAGACUCCCUCAGUCCCUG
rnacentral:tRNA from 1 species